rnacentral:rRNA from 1 species
AUUGAACGCUGGCGGCAGGCCUAACACAUGCAAGUCGAGCGGGGUUUUCGGACCUAGCGGCGGACGGGUGAGUAAUGCGUAGGAAGCUACCCGAUAGAGGGGGAUACCAGUUGGAAACGACUGUUAAUACCGCAUAAUGUCUACGGACCAAAGUGUGGGACCUUCGGGCCACAUGCUAUCGGAUGCGCCUACGUGGGAUUAGCUAGUUGGUGGGGUAAUGGCUCACCAAGGCGACGAUCCCUAGCUGGUUUGAGAGGAUGGUCAGCCACACUGGAACUGAGACACGGUCCAGACUCCUACAGGAGGCAGCAGUGGGGAAUAUUGGACAAUGGGCGCAAGCCUGAUCCAGCCAUGCCGCGUGUGUGAAGAAGGCCUUCGGGUUGUAAAGCACUUUCAGUAGGGAGGAAGGGUUAAGUGCUAAUAGUACUUAACUUUGACGUUACCUACAGAAGAAGCACCGGCUAACUCUGUGCCAGCCGCCGCCGUAACAC